ACAGUGGAUGGGUGCAGUUCAGGAGAUAGCUGUUCUCCAGCCUUUCUGGAGGGAUGCAGAGCCUUUCCUUAGGACAAACAAGAGGUCAGUCGAGCAUCUGGAAGAGAAAACAGGCUGUUGAACUAUGCAAGCAUUUCAAAAGGUUUGAACUACCUAACCAUUAUGGCACCAGGAAACCUCUGGCAUAUGAGAAAUAACUUUCUCUUUGGUUCAAGAUGUUGGAUGACUCGAUUUUCAGCAGAAAACAUCUUCAAAUCAGUUUCAUUUAGGCUUUUUGGUGUGAAGUGUCAUAAUACAGACAGUGAGCCUUUGAAAAAUGAGGACCUACUGAAAAACUUACUUACUAUGGGAGUAGAUAUUGACAUGGCAAGGAAACGACAGCCUGGAGUUUUUCAUAGGAUGAUUACCAAUGAGCAGGACCUGAAGAUGUUCCUUCUUUCCAAAGGAGCUAGCAAAGAAGUGAUCGCUAGCAUCAUAUCAAGAUAUCCACGAGCAAUAACACGUACUCCCGAGAAUCUUUCAAAACGGUGGGAUCUGUGGAGAAAGAUUGUGACAUCAGACCUUGAAAUUGUAAAUAUUUU
rnacentral:lncRNA from 1 species